rnacentral:sRNA from 1 species
UACCUGGUAUCACCAUGUUGGAUUGAAACAAAGACUAUGGACCCAAGUAGAAGUAACCAGGAUGUCUUACAAUGUCAUCUUUGUGAGGUGCCUGUUCCUUCAUAUCAUUGUGAUUUUUGUCACUCCAGCCUUUGUAAGACCUGUGCUGGAAAACAUCUCUUGGAUGAAACUAAAGAACAUACAGUGUUGCCAAUCAAACAGCAAAAAUCGACUACUGUUUACCCAACAUGUACAAAACAUGCCACUAACAAAUAUGAACUCUUUUGUAAAGAGUGUAAAAUUUCUAUUUGUACAAGAUGUGUGACUUCUGGUGACCACCAAGAACACAAAUUAAUCGACUUCUAUGAAAACAUUCGAAGAAACAAGGGAGUCAUUCGAAAAGAUUUAAAGGAAUUGGAGAAAUGCAUAUACCCCAGGUAUCAGGAAAUUGCAUCGAGUAUCUCAUCUCGAAAAUCUGAUUUGAGGAAAAACUCCAAGAGAUUAGAAAUAGCUAUUUUGGAAAGAGGAAAGGAUUGGCAUAAAGAAACAGACGAAAUCAUAGGAAAACUUGAAUCUGAUGUCGAUGAAAUGGAAGCCCAACAGUUAGAUGUCCUUAACGAACAGGAAGAUAAAGUCACACGCACCAGUUCUGAAAUCUCACAAAGCAUUGCUGAUCUGACGAAAUUAGUGGACUCUGAUGACAUUAACUCUGUCUCUUCAUAUACAUCUAGAAAUGAAGAAUUUAGACAAAUGUCUCCUCUACUCAAGAUUUACUUGCCAGUUUUCUCACCUCCAAAGAUCGACAGAGAACAACUCUUUAAAGAAUUUGGAUCUAUAUCAGCUCUUUCCAUCGCAGCAGAGGAAACUAUUUGCCCUAUGAGUUCCACAGGAAGUGACUCGUCUUCCGCCGUUAGACCACUACUAGAUGUACCGUAGAUCAUCGCAACUAUAGACACUGGAUGCACUAGUCUUUAUGAUAUCACUGGACUAAGUGACGAAAAAAUAUGGACAAUGGGUAUCUGGACGAGCGAUGGCCAUUUCUCCAUAAAACUGUAUAAUUUCGAAGGGGAAUUGUUGUUUUCAUUUGGAAUAAACUUUUUGUCAUAUAUAGCGUUGACAAAGAGUGAAGAUCUUGUUUUUAUAGAUACAACAAAUAGGAGAUCGCUCAAUUUGUGUCACAUAAAAAACAAACAAGUUGAAGAGGUGAUAAGAUUUGAGACAUGGUUACCUGUCAAUGUCUGCAGUACCUCAUCUGGUGACCUAUACAUUAUAAUGAUGAGCAGCUAUGAUCUAAAACAAACAAAAGUUGUGCGUUACGCAGACUUAAAAGAGAAACAAAGCAUUCAGUUUAAUGACAAAGGGCAAACUUUCUACUCUUAUGAGCCUAAUAAAUUCCUAUGCGAGAACAGCAACCAGGAUAUCUGCGUAUCUGAUAGCGAGGCUGGUGCAGUAGUGGUGGUAAAUCGAAAUGGAAGACUGCGAUUUACGUACAACGGUCCAUCUUCUACAGCUGAGAGAUCAUUUUGCCCGUAUGGCAUCACAACAGACAGUCACUGUCGGAUCCUGACGGCAGACAGUGAUGACAACUGUAUUCACAUCUUGGAUCAAGACGGACAUUUUCUUCGAUGUAUAUAAACAACAUUGAUAUAAACUAUCCAUGGGGUUUAUGGGUAGAAAAAAAAGACAACCUCUUCGUAGGUGAAUUUUCUUCAGGAAAAGUAAAGAAAAUAAAAUUUAUCAUGUAAAUAAGUUAUCUUCAUAGUUAGAGAGGAAAAAUAUUUGACUGUAGCAGUGCAUGUAUAUGACAUAAACGAACGUUUCAGUAUUCAAAAACAAUGUUUAACUUAAUUGUUUAUAACUGUGCAAUUUUUAUUUACAUGUAUUAAAAUUCGUGUAAUAAAUUGGCAAACUGC